GCUUACGGCCACACCGCCUGGUUCACGCCCGAUCUCGUUUGAUCUCGGAAGCUAAGAUAGGGUGGGCCUGGUUGUACUUGGAUGGGAGACCGCCUGGGAAUACCAGGUGUUGUAAGAU
ensembl:rRNA 5S_rRNA 5S ribosomal RNA